CGGAAGGUGGGGGAGGAGUGCGAGGGUCUCUGAGACAGGUUGGGAGCCAGCCCCACCUCCAUUUCCAAAGCGGGGGUCCAGGCACAGGAACAGCCAAACGCCCGAACCAGCGGGGUUACCUUUGCCACUUCAUCCAAUCCGAGCAUCGGCUGGAAACUGGGAAGUUUGUCAGACAAAGCUCUUCAGGUUACUGGCAAUUUAUGUGCUGGGAGGUGGAUUUGUGGGCAGAGCUCCGGCUGACCUGGUGUUGUCCUGCUAUGGCUACAGACUUCUGACUAUGCUUAUCAGAAAAACUUUCAUUUGGUUCAAGGAUUUUUGCUGACAAGUUUAUUUAAUCCCUGAACCUGGAUCCAAGGCAUCUCCCUGUAGAAAACAUCAGACCGGGGCAGAGAUUGACAAAGCAACCCAAAGCAGCAGCUGCCAACGGCCGCUGUGCCCACCUCAUCAGCAGCUAAAGAGUAUAAUUUUAAAAAAAGUCACAGAAGAAUGUGGAGACACUUAGCAAAACGGACUCUCAUAAGGAGGCUGAUGGACUACAUCCAUGGGGUACUUUGUCCUCUGGCUUCCAAUUAGAUUCAGACAACAGGAAGCAUCAACAGCUAAUGGGAGACGAAGAGGAAAAAUUGGGGUACCUAUUCCCCUAGAUUACUCCCUGCUGAUUGCUGCAGAGGGGCUUCAUCCUUGCCCUGGUUUCUGGAAAACACUCUUUCAUUGCCCAUGCAGGCCUAGGAGUGAUGAUGCCUCACUGGAUGGCAAAGUCUCUUAUUGGUUUCCCUAAAUCUUACUCACAACUUGUAGAUACUCCCUCUAUUAAAUCCUUUUCAGUUACCCAGUUUGAGUGUGCAGUCUCUUUCCUGAUAGACUUUUACUGAUAUAGUGUCCUUCUUGACCUUAGUUACAAAGUCAUUUUCAAAUCAAGUUCAUGUCUAAAUCAUGUUUUCUCUGGCUUCCAUGUGUGUAAAACAGUUUCUAUAUUUUUUUUUUUUUUUUUUUUUUUUUUUGAGACGGAGUCUCGCUGUCGCCCAGGCUGGAGUGCAGUGGCGCAAUCUC
rnacentral:lncRNA from 10 species